rnacentral:lncRNA from 1 species
AUGUCUCAAAACCACUACCAACCGAGAUUCAGAGGACCUCCUCCUCACUGCGCUGGACAGUACGGUCCCCCCGGUGAAUACAAUGGUCUCAGAAAAGCUUUUGAGAACUGCAGGAGGGAAAACCUUCACCUACGAGAGAGCGAGUACCAACUGCGAAGUCGCCUAAACGGUCUUCUGGCAGAGAGGAGGAAUUUAUGCCAUAAGGAUGGGCUUGUAGCUCUUAGAGAAGAAAUGGAGUCCAAAUACAAGCAACUGGAGAAAAGAAAUGAAAAGCUGGAACAAGAAAACAAAAUACUAGAAGGGAAGCAGCUAGACGCGGAUGAAUUGAAGGAAAAGCUGUCAGACGCAUACUUAAGAAUUGAAGCAGAAAAUGAGUACCAGCAAUUUCUAAGGGAGAAACAUUCGGAGGAAGUCCAAAAUUUGAAGGAGAAAUGUCAAGACCUGGAACAGAAGCAGGCACUGUUGGAGGACAAAAAUAAAGAAUUGGAGGAAGAGAAGAUCAAACUGGAGGACAAAAAUAAAGAAUUGGAAGAAGAGAAGAUCAAACUGGAGGACAAAAAUAAAGAAUUGGAGGAAGAGAAGACAAAACUGGAAGACAAAAAUAAAGAAUUGGAGGAAGAGAAGACAAAACUGGAAGACAAAAAUAAAGAAAUGGAGGAAGAGAAGACAAAACUGGAAGACAAAAAUAAAGAAAUGGAACAAAAGAAGAAAAAACUGGAGGACAGAAAUAAAGAAUUGGAGGAAGAGAAGGAAAAGGUAGAAGACAAAUAUACAGCACUUGAGCAGAAGCAUAAAGAAGUCCAGGACAGGAGCACAGAAAUGCUUCAGGAGAAGAUCCAACACCUUCAAAAAUAUGAAGAACUUGAGAGGAUUCACAAAGAACUGCAAAGCAGAAACAGUGAAAACCAGGAGGAUCAGAAAAAGCAGAAACAAGAAGAGCUUGAACAAAAGGGCAAAGAAGAGGAUGAAAAGUUUAACAAACUGCAGGAAGAUUUUGAGAAGAUUCAAGCAGACAAUGAAAACCUCAAAGAAAAUAACACACUGGAGAUGAAAAACGAUGAGUUGCAGGCGCAAGAACAGCAAAAGAAAAAAGGAUCCAGCUUUUUCAAGAGGAAGUCAAGCAAGAAAGAGGAAAAACCAAAACAAGACCAGGAAAGUGUAGAGAAAGAAGAAAAGGUGGAAAAGAUAAACAGCAAAGUAGAAGAGAAAGAGAAAGGAAAGAAGAAGAAGAAGAAGACAGGCUGUUGGAGCUGGUUUUUCAGGAGUAAGAAAGGUUCUGGUGAGAUGAGAGUGGAAGAGGCUCCUGAGUCUGGACAACUGUAG